rnacentral:rRNA from 1 species
GCAGCCGCCGCGGUAAUACGUAGGUGGCAAGCGUUGUCCGGAAUUAUUGGGCGUAAAGCGCGCGCAGGCGGAUAGGUCAGUCUGUCUUAAAAGUUCGGGGCUUAACCCCGUGAUGAGAUGGAAACUGCCAAUCUAGAGUAUCGGAGAGGAAAGUGGAAUUCCUAGUGUAGCGGUGAAAUGCGUAGAUAUUAGGAAGAACACCAGUGGCGAAGGCGACUUUCUGGACGAAAACUGACGCUGAGACGCGAAAGCCAGGGGAGCGAACGGGAUUAGAUACCCCGGUAGUCCCUGUCUCUUAUACA